rnacentral:rRNA from 1 species
GCAAGUCGAAUGAAUUUAUAUUCAUGGCGAACGAGGUAGUAACACGUAGGACUACGUACCCCAAAGUCAGGGAUAACCCAUCGAAAGGUGGAAUAAUACCUGAUGGUCCGGCAACGGUAAAGAUUAUCGCUUUGGGAACGGCCUGCGGAGUAUCAGCUAGUUGGUAAGGUAAAAGCUUACCAAGGCUACGACGCUUAGGGGAGGUGAGAGCCUGACC